UACGUAGGGGGCUAGCGUUGCUCGGAAUCACUGGGCGUAAAGCGCACGUAGGCGGAUUGUUAAGUCAGGGGGUGAAAUCCUGGAGCUCAACUCCAGAACUGCCUUUGAUACUGGCGAUCUCGAGUCCGGGAGAGGUGAGUGGAACUGCGAGUGUAGAGGGUGAAAUUCGUAGAUAUUCGCAAGAACACCAGUGGCGAAGGCGGCUCACCUGGCCCGGUAGUGGACCGCUGACGGUGCGAAAGCGCGGG
rnacentral:rRNA from 1 species